GAGGAAUAAGCAUCGGCUAACUCCGUGCCAGCAGCCGCGGUAAUACGGGGGAUGCAAGCGUUAUCCGGAAUCAUUGGGCGUAAAGCGCCUGUAGGUUGUUUAUUAAGUCUGUUGUUAAAGACUAGGGCUUAACCCUAGAAAAGCAAUGGAAACUGAUAGACUAGAGUAUGGCAGGGGUAGAGGGAAUUUCUAGUGUAGCGGUGAAAUGCGUAGAUAUUAGAAAGAACACCAGCGGCGAAAGCGCUCUACUGGACCAUUACUGACACUCAGAGGCGAAAGCUAGGGUAGCAAAAGGGAUUAGAUACCCCUGUAGUCCUAGCCGUAAACGAUGGAUACUAGAUGUUGUGCUUAAAGUACAGUAUCGUAGCUAACGCGUUAAGUAUCCCGCCUGGGGAGUACGCUCGCAAGGGUGAAACUCAAAGGAAUUGACGGGGGCCCGCACAAGCGGUGGAGCAUGUGGUUUAAUUCGAUGCAACGCGAAGAACCUUACCAGGGCUUGACAUACUACAAAUUCUUUGGAGACAGAGAAGUGCCUUCGGGAAUGUAGAUACAGGUGGUGCAUGGCUGUCGUCAGCUCGUGUCGUGAGAUGUUGGGUUAAGUCCCGCAACGAGCGCAACCCUUAUUUUUAGUUACCAAUUCGUUGGGUUCUCUAGAAAGACUGCCGGUGACAAACCGGAGGAAGGUGAGGAUGACGUCAAGUCAGCAUGCCCCUUAUGUCCUGGGCUACACACGUGCUACAAUGGUUAAGACAAAGAGUCGCUAGCUUGCGAAAGUUUGCUAAUCUCAUAAACUUAGCCUAAGUUCAGAUUGUAGGCUGCAACUCGCCUACAUGAAG
rnacentral:rRNA from 1 species